rnacentral:rRNA from 1 species
UACGAAGGGGGCUAGCGUUGUUCGGAAUUACUGGGCGUAAAGCGCACGUAGGCGGUUAUUCAAGUCAGAGGUGAAAGCCCGGGGCUCAACUCCGGAACUGCCUUUGAAACUAGAUAACUUGAAUCCAGGAGAGGUGAGUGGAAUUCCGAGUGUAGAGGUGAAAUUCGUAGAUAUUCGGAAGAACACCAGUGGCGAAGGCGGCUCACUGGACUGGUAUUGACGCUGAGGUGCGAAAGCGUGGGGAGCAAACAGG